GUCACAGAGGAUUUCCAUGCAGAGACAGUGUGCUUCUUUUUCUAGGGCUAAUCCUUCCACUGCACAGUGCUAGAGAAUUCCUACUCUAUUUCAUUAACAGCCAGGUAAGCUUCUGAGGAUUUAUCGAGAAACUGCAGUGGUCUGCUCACUUUGGACUUCAGCAUCACUUGCAUCUAAUGUCACCUGCAGAUGGACAGCCCUGGAGUGCAGAAAUCCAGAUGCUCUUCUGCCUCAGUGCUGGCAUCAUGUGUAUUCCUGAUUGAUUACCAGGACUUUUGCAAAGAGCAGGAGAGCCCCUCGUGCAGUGUCAAAACUGUGGCAAGACAAGAAAUAAAACAUUAGAGUGAUGCUCGGUGGCUUUGGAGAUUCAGGGUUAACAUUACUAAUGCUGGUCCAUGAAAAGGAUUAUUACAGAUGCUCAAAGAAAUUGUGAUUGAUUGUUCCCUCUGCUGUGGUUUGUUUUACUGUUGUUGUUGUUUAUUUUCCCUUUUAUUCUUAUAUUUUUUCUUAAUGUGAUGACUGUCAAAUUCUCCAAAGCUAGAUAAUCUGCUGUUAUUAUUAUCUAAUGUUAAUCUCCUGGGUAGACGCAUUGUGAUAUUGUCAAGUAAUCAUCUACUUUUACUUAUACAAAUAAAUGAAUAAUAUAUAUAUAUGCUUCUCUUGUU
rnacentral:lncRNA from 1 species